rnacentral:rRNA from 1 species
GACAGAGGCCCCGAGCGUUAAUCGGAAUCACUGGGCUUAAAGGAUGCGUAGGCCGGCCCGCAAGUGCUUCGUGAAAGCCCACGGCUCAACCGUGGAACAGCGGGGCAUACUGCGGGUCUUGAGGCAGGUAGGGGUCGCGAGAACAGUAGGUGGAGCGGUGAAAUGCGUAGAUAUCUACUGGAAUGCCGAUGGUGAAGACGCGCGACUGGGCCUGUCCUGACGCUGAGGCACGAAAGCGUGGGGAGCAAACAGG